UACAGAGGUCUCAAGCGUUGUUCGGAUUCAUUGGGCGUAAAGGGUGCGUAGGUGGCGUGGUAAGUCGGGUGUGAAAUUUCGGAGCUUAACUCCGAAACUGCAUUCGAUACUGCCGUGCUUGAGGACUGGAGAGGAGACUGGAAUUUACGGUGUAGCAGUGAAAUGCGUAGAGAUCGUAAGGAAGACCAGUGGCAAAGGCGGGUCUCUGGACAGUUCCUGACACUGAGGCACGAAGGCCAGGGGAGCAAACGGG
rnacentral:rRNA from 1 species